rnacentral:misc_RNA from 1 species
CGUUGUUUUCUGUGUAUCAAUCAUCGUCUUUUUUGAUAAAGACUAGAUUUUUACGGAAAAAGGGGGAAAAUUGAUUUGAGUGGAAUUUCGGUGAGUUGAAAAUCUUGAGGGAUGGAUCUGUUGAUGAUAAAGUUCAUGGUUUGAUUGAUUGUUGAUGUAAAUUGGGUGAAUGAGGAUGGGAUUAGAAUCUUCUGGUGAAAUUCCUCGUGUUUACCGGAAGAUUAAUGUGUUACACGAGGGUGCUAUUUGAUCCGAUGACGCCCUUGCUUUAGAUUUUUUUUUUGUUUCUGUUGUGAGUUGUAAUAUUAAUAGUUAUUAAGCGGAGGUGCGUUCAUGGAUGAAGGUAGUUCUAGCUCUAUGGCGGUUGGUUCAUCGGAGCUGGCAGCAGAGGGAGCUUUAUCAUCAGCUGCUGCUGCUGCGGUAGUGGCUCCAUCAUGGCGUCCGAGCCAGGGAAUCUUUGGUCCUUAUUUGCCUGGACAACAGGCAAAUGCUAACCCCCAAAGUUUGCGGGUAGUUGUUCGAAGACCUUUGGUGGCAAGGUUAACUAAAGAUAUCGUUGAGACAUACCGCAUCUGCAAUCCUCAUUUCACUUACUCUGAAG